CAGCAGUUGCAGAUUCCGAGCACUGAGGCGGACAGGUCCAAAGAGCGCACCCAGCAUGCACAUUGGCAGGCCUGUCUGCACAGCCUCGAACCAU